rnacentral:rRNA from 1 species
GAUGAACGCUGGCGGCGUGCCUAAUACAUGCCAGUCGAGCGAACGGACGAGAAGCUUGCUUCUCUGAUGUUAGCGGCGGACGGGUGAGUAACACGUGGAUAACCUACCUAUAAGACUGGGAUAACUUCGGGAAACCGGAGCUAAUACCGGAUAAUAUUUUGAACCGCAUGGUUCAAAAGUGAAAGACGGUCUUGCUGUCACUUAUAGAUGGAUCCGCGCUGCAUUAGCUAGUUGGUAAGGUAACGGCUUACCAAGGCAACGAUGCAUAGCCGACCUGAGAGGGUGAUCGGCCACACUGGAACUGAGACACGGUCCAGACUCCUACGGGAGGCAGCAGUAGGGAAUCUUCCGCAAUGGGCGAAAGCCUGACGGAGCAACGCCGCGUGAGUGAUGAAGGUCUUCGGAUCGUAAAACUCUGCUAUUAGGGAAGAACAUAUGUGUAAGUAACUGUGCACAUCUUGACGGUACCUAAUCAGAAAGCCACGGCUAACUACGUG